UACGUAGGAUGCAAGCGUUGUUCGGAAUUACUGGGCGUAAAGAGUACGUAGGCGGUUUGGUAAGUCUGAUAUUAAAGACCGGAGCUCAACUCCGGGACUGUAUCGGAAACUGUCAGACUAGAGGACAAUAGAGGAAGUCGGAAUUCUCAGUGUAGCGGUGAAAUGCGUAGAUAUUGGGAAGAACACCAGUGGCGAAAGCGGACUUCUGGGUUGUUACUGACGCUGAGGUACGAAAGCGUGGGGAGCAAACGGGAUUAGAAACCCGUGUAGUCC
rnacentral:rRNA from 1 species